UACGUAGGUGGCAAGCGUUGUCCGGAAUUAUUGGGCGUAAAGCGCUCGUAGGCGGUUUGUCGCGUCGGGAGUGAAAACCCAGGGCUUAACCCUGGGCUGGCUUCCGAUACGGGCAGACUAGAGGUAUGCAGGGGAGAACGGAAUUCCUGGUGUAGCGGGUGAAAUGCGCAGAUAUCAGGAAGAACACCCGUGGCGAAAGCGGCUCUCUGGAACGGUACUGACGCUGAGACGCGAAAGCGUGGGGAGCGAACAGG
rnacentral:rRNA from 1 species